CCCUCCUGGCAAUGGGCAAAGAGACACCUUGUUGGUGGUGGUAUUCUUACAUCAGUCAGGGGCAGAGCAGAUGGCAGUCCUUUGUUCAUCCUAGCUUGAUGUCUGGCUUGACAGCCAAAGCUGUUUUAUGUCUAGGACUCAUAA
rnacentral:snoRNA from 1 species